ACUGUGGAGUGUACAAAAACUUGUGAGUAGUGUGUUGCCUGCAACCACCAAAACAUACACAGCGAAGCAGUAA
rnacentral:sRNA from 1 species